AUUGAACGCCGGCGGAAUGCUUUACACAUGCAAGUCGAACGGUAGCACGGACUUCGGUCUGGUGGCGAGUGGCGAACGGGUGAGUAACAUAUCGGAACGUAUCCAAUAAUGGGGGAUAACUAAUCGAAAGGUUGGCUAAUACCGCAUACGCCCUACGGGGGAAAGCUAGGGACCUUCGGGCCUGGCGUUAAUGGAGCGGCCGAUAUCUGAUUAGCUAGUUGGUGGGGUAAAGGCCCACCAAGGCGACGAUCAGUAGCUGGUCUGAGAGGACGACCAGCAACACGGGACCGGGAACACGGUCCAGACUCCUACGGGAGGAAGCAGUGGGGAAUUUUGGACAAUGGGCGCAAGCCUGAUCCAGCCAUUCCGGGUGAGUGAAGAAGGCCUUCGGGUUGUAAAGCUCUUUCGCAAGGGAAGAAAACUUAGCCUCUAACAUAGGCUGAGGGUGACGGUACCUUGAUAAGAAGCACCGGCUAACUACGUGCCAGCAGCCGCGGUAA
rnacentral:rRNA from 1 species